rnacentral:hammerhead_ribozyme from 11 species
AACUGGUCGGGAGCUAGAUUCGUUCCCUUGAUGAGUCCAUAGCAGGAUGAAACCAAUC